rnacentral:lncRNA from 1 species
CCCCUAAAAAAAUUCAGAGUACAAGUGAUAAUUCUACCAGCUCAUGAAAGUUUUACAAUAAAAUCCCUCCAACAUGAUCCACGGCUAUAUACACUCAUGUUCCGGAGUGAUGGCAAACGUACAAUAUAGGAUGGGUAAGAUCCCAACAGUCUGGUAGUUUACAAAUGCCUUCAGAAUAUUAAUAUAUAAGAUGACUCGAUGUAAAAGACCCCACGCAUGCAUGCCUACUGUAACAUGAACUUUGUUGUGCACAAGGUACAAGAUUGAUCAUACAUACGAAAAGAGAAAAAAAACAAUUGCAUACAACACAGUCAAACAUCAUGUUUGGUUCAGAGAUGGGGAGAGGAAAGAGUUGACUUACUUCCCCAUGGAAAGAUGGUUAUCCUUACCCUUUGAUGGGUAUAUACCUACAAAGGAAGUUAAACAUAUCCCCUUAAGUCUUUUGUUCCCUAAUAUGGAGGAGGCUGAUACCAUUCACUUCCUCUUUCUUUCAUAAUCUAGGUAAAAUUAAGUGAAGUAUCACAACACUAACUGCUUUUAACUUACCCUCUAUUGCCAUCCCUUUUCACCUUAAUCAAAGUAGCUUUUGACAAAGAGUUGGAUCUAAUAUUAGUUUCCAGAGAAAAACUAUCAAGACCAAAGAUAUGUAUCACAUAAAUCAAAAUUCGAAAUAUCUUGUAAUUUAACAAAGUUAUGAUAAAAAUUGUUACAACCUAUUAAAAAUUUGAGGUUUAUGUAAGUUAUCCAAUAAAUUAUGCAAAUUUCAAAAACAUACCUAAACUAUAUAGAAAAAAUUGCACAAACAAUAAUUUCAAUGAAAUCUAGGCGAGUAACAACCAACAAAAUAAUAGUGGGCACCCUUUUUGGAUCCUAAACUUGUUUUAACUGCAUAGAUGAGAACACUAGGGUAUAAUAUGAUUCAAUUCUCGGCAUGAAUCACUCCUACUUUCUAUUUCUUCGCUUGAUUAUUAUUCGAAGUAGAGAUUUGUUGAUAUGAUUAUAUUGUUUCUAAUAGUGGUCACCCCUUUUGAAUCUUGCAGUUGCCAACAAUCUUGUUUUAACCGCACAGAUGAGAACACCAGAGUACAACAUGAUUUAAUUCUCGGCAUGAAUCACUCAUACUUCCUAUUUCUUCGCUUAAUUACUAUUCGGAGUAGAAAUUUAUUCAUAUGAUUUUAUUAUUUCUAAUAGUGGUCACCCCUUUUGGAUCCUACAGUUACCAACAAUCUUGUUUUAACCGCACAGAUGAGAACACCAUGGUACAACAUGAUUCAAUUCUCGCACAAAUAAAAAUAAAAAUGUUAAAUGAUUUCUUUUAAUCCGCUGAGUAUUGCUGGAUAGAGGGAAUCAAUUUUUUAGUUUAUAAGUCUUUUUUUCCUUUAAAUACAUAAAACACAUCGCAAACUAUUGUGUUAGACAAACCUCUCUACCCCUGGUCCCUUAUUCUAUUAGCUAAACCAAAAUCAACAGCUCUACACUUGCUAUAAACUCAUUCGGAUUUGAUGCAUCUUGGAAAUUCUUAUCAAACAAAAAAAUCCUAACCAACUAAUCAACAGAUAUUAAAGUACCAAAAAAAAUACCACAUAUUCACAAAAAACUGCAUCAAUUGACAUGCACCAACUCUUUGGAUUUUUCCUUAUUUUUUUCUUUCUGGAAGGGCUUUUAUCUGAAUUUUUGGUGUAAUGCAUUGGAAGAAAAUUUUUGUCGUUAUCUUCAAAACUGAUACAAAGACCUGAUUUUUUUAAAUUUAUUUUCAGCAAAGAAAAGAUAAAAUUCAUUACAUGUAUGUAAAAAACAAAAAGAAUAAAACUAUUUUUUUUAAUGUUUUUUGCGAGUUUUUGUUAUUUUGCUUCUAAUGGUUCAAUUAGUAAAAAUCCCCCAUCUUUUAAGUGCUAAAGUAGAGACCCCAAAUAUAAAUUAACCAAAUCAAUUAAAGUGUCAUUAAAGAAAAAUUAAAAUUAAAAAAGUUAAAGCAAAAACACGAAGAAAUUGAUGCAAAAUUAUAUACACCCAUUUUCCCCCAAUUAAGACAAUCAAAUCAAGAAAACCCAGCAAAUAGUAGCUUGGAAAUGCAAAAUCGGAUAUCAAAAACACAAAACCCUCAUACUAAAUUGCUAGGCGCAGUUCUACUGAAAUAGAAAACACAAAAUUCGCAUACCUUUAUUAGUUGAAUGGUUGUAGUUGAAAGAAGAGCAAGCCAAACAAAGAAAGUGUAGAAUAUGAAAGAAAUAAUAAUAUGUGGAAGCACAUAUUUAUAAUCUGUGUAGAAUAACAGAAAAUGAUAGGAGGAUUCAUCUUCAGUGUAGAAGUAUUGGAAGGAAGAAGAAGAGGAAACAACUUUGGAGUCUCCAUCGCUUUACACAUCAGACCUUAACACGUCGUGAAGCCCAACAGCAGUAAAGUGGCACUCAUUGAGGUAGUAUGAAAAGACUAAAAUUCCCUUAGUGAGUGAAAUAGGCAUGUUGAAAUUUGCUCACUUCUAAUAUAUAUAUAUAUAUAU